rnacentral:rRNA from 2 species
UGGGGAAUAUUGGGCAAUGGACGCAAGUCUGACCCAGCGACGCCGCGUGAAGGAAGAAGGCCUUCGGGUUGUAAACUUUAGUUAUCAGGGAAGAACAAAUGACGGUACCUGAAGAGAAAGCCACGGCUAACUACGUGCCAGCAGCCGCGGUAAUACGUAGGUGGCGAGCGUUAUCCGGAUUUACUGGGCGUAAAGGGUGUGUAGGCGGGACUGCAAGUCAGAUGUGAAAUUCACGGGCUCAACUCGUGACCUGCAUUUGAAACUGUGGUUCUUGAGAGUCGGAGGGGUAAAUGGAAUUCCCAGUGUAGCGGUGAAAUGCGUAGAUAUUGGGAGGAACACCAGUGGCGAAGGCGAUUUACUGGACGACAACUGACGCUGAGACACGAAAGUGUGGGGAGCAAACAGG